rnacentral:rRNA from 1 species
AGAGUUUGAUUCUGGCUCAGGAUGAACGCUAGCUACAGCGGGGUUAACACAUGCAAGUCGAGGGGAAACGACAUCGAAAGCUUGCUUUGAUGGGCGUCGACCGGCGCACGGGUGAGUAACGCGUAUCCAACCUGCCCACCACUUGGGGAUAACCUUGCGAAAGUAAGACUAAUACCCAAUGAUAUCUCUAGAAGACAUCUGAAAGAGAUUAAAGAUUCAUCGGUGAUGGAUGGGGAUGCGUCUGAUUAGCUUGUUGGCGGGGUAACGGCCCACCAAGGCAACGAUCAGUAGGGGUUCUGAGAGGAAGGUCCCCCACAUUGGAACUGAGACACGGUCCAAACUCCUACGGGAGGCAGCA